AGUGAACGCUGGCGGUAGGCCUAACACAUGCAAGUCGAACGGCAGCACAGUAAGAGCUUGCUCUUACGGGUGGCGAGUGGCGGACGGGUGAGGAAUACAUCGGAAUCUACUUUUUCGUGGGGGAUAACGUAGGGAAACUUACGCUAAUACCGCAUACGACCUACGGGUGAGAGCAGGGGAUCUUCGGUCCUUGCGCGAUUGAAUGAGCCGAUGUCGGAUUAGCUAGUUGGCGGGGUAAAGGCCCACCAAGGCGACGAUCCGUAGCUGGUCUGAGAGGAUGAUCAGCCACACUGGAACUGAGACACGGUCCAGACUCCUACGGGAGGCAGCAGUGGGGAAUAUUGGACAAUGGGGGCAAGCCUGAUCCAGCCAUACCGCGUGGGUGAAGAAGGCCUUCGGGUUGUAAAGCCCUUUUGUUGGGAAAGAAAAGCAGCAGGUUAAUACCCCGCUGUUCUGACGGUACCCAAAGAAUAAGCACCGGCUAACUUCGUG
rnacentral:rRNA from 1 species